ensembl:lncRNA
AUGGGAAACAGUGGGAGAAUGUAUAAUUAUAUACUAGACUUUCUAUCACAACGUUCAAUAAGAGUCAGAGUUGGUAAUGGAAUAAGUGAAGAGUUUAUGGUUGAAAGUGGAUUUCCCCAAGGGAGUGUUAUUAGUCCCAUAUUAUUCAAUAUUAUGGUAAAUGACAUAUUUGAAAAAGUUGGGGUAAGAAAUGAAGGAUUGUUGUAUGCAGAUGAUGCUGUCAUAUGGAAAAGGGGACGCAACAUAGCAUACAUAACCAAAGCUAUUCAAAAGGACAAACAAAUGUUAGAACAAUGGGGUAUUGAUUGGGGAUUUAAAUUCUCCAUUCCUAAAACAAAGGUUAUGUUUUUUACCAGAAAGAAGAUCCCAGAAAAUUAUAAAGUUCUGUUAUAUAAUCAAUCAGUUGAAAGAGAGAAGAAAUUUAAAUAUUUGGGGAUGUGGUUGGAUGAAAGGCUUACAUGGAGACAUCAUAUAGAGCAUGCUGAAACAAAAUGUAAAAAAGUUCUAAAUCUAAUGAGGAUGAUCACUGGACAGUGUUGGGGAGCAGAUGGAAAGUCUUUGAUGUACAUUUAUACAGCCUUAAUAAGAUCUUUCAUAGACUAUGGAUGUGUAAUUUAUAGCUCAGCAUGUAAAACUUCUUUAAGGAAACUUGAGAGGGUUCAAUUCAAGGCUAUAAGAAUUGCUUUAGGAGCUAUUAAAACCACCCCCACAAGUGUGUUUUUAGUAGAAUCUGAGGAAUAUCUGCUUAGUCUAAGAUAUAUUAAGUUGUCUCUAAAAUAUUGGGUUAGGUUGAUGGGAAGUAUCAAAAAUCCAGCAAUUUCAGUUCUUAAUGAUUGCUGGGAGUAUCACACAGAAUCAAAAGGGUUUGCCUGGAACAUUAAUAGUAUAGCAGAACAAUACAGAAUUAAAGAAUUUAAAUUUAGUCCUUCACUGGUUUUAAGUGCGGUUCCCCCAUGGUUUCUUCCAUCACCAGAGGUUAACAGUGAACUACUGAAAGAAAAGAAAGAGUAUCCAAAUGAACAAAGUUUUGCAGCAUAUUGCCAGAGAUAUUUAGAAACAUCAUUCUAUGGAUAUGUUAAAAUAUAUACUGAUGGAUCAAAAGAUCCACAAAAUGGGCAUUGUGGUAUUGGGAUAUAUGUCCCAGAAUUUAACAAAAGAGAGGGGUAUAGACUAAAUAAUUUUUUAUCUGUAUACUCUAUUGAAAUGACUGGGUUAAUAACAGCCCUUAGGUGGACUGAAGAGGUUAAGACAUUGAGAAUAGUAAUCUGUACAGAUUCCAUGGCAGCUUUACACAGUCUAGAUACAGGUCACUCUUCAAGGGAAGUUUUGAUUAUUGAAAUUAAAUAUUUGUUACUACAACUCAAGAACCUUGGAAUCAGUAUUCAGUUUUGUUGGGUUCCAGCUCAUAUAGGCAUUAAAGGUAAUGAGGAGGCGGAUAAUAUUGCAAAAAAAAAUGUUGGAAAACAAAAAUAUAGCAAUUAA